CGCGAGCUGGGUUUAGAACGUCGUGAGACAGUUCGGUCCCUAUCUGCCGUGGGCGUUUGAGAUUUGAGAGGAGCUGCUCCUAGUACGAGAGGACCGGAGUGGACGAACCUCUGGUGUUCCGGUUGUCACGCCAGUGGCACUGCCGGGUAGCUAUGUUCGGACGGGAUAACCGCUGAAAGCAUCUAAGCGGGAAGCCCACCUCAAGAUGAGAUCUCACCAAAUCAUUCCGAUUUCUGAAGGGCCCUCGAAGACUACGAGGUUGAUAGGCAGGGUGUGUAAGCGCUGCGAGGCGUUGAGCUAACCUGUACUAAUUGCCCGUGCGGCUUGACCAUAUAA
rnacentral:rRNA from 1 species